rnacentral:tRNA from 1 species
GGGCCUAUAGCUCAGCUGGUUAGAGCGCACGCCUGACAAGCGUGAGGUCGAUGGUUCGAGUCCAUUUAGGCCCA